UACGUAGGGUGCAAGCGUUGUCCGGAUUUAUUGGGCGUAAAGAGCUCGUAGGCGGUUUGUCGCGUCGGAUGUGAAAACCCAGGGCUCAACCCUGGGCCUGCAUUCGAUACGGGCAGACUAGAGUAUGGCAGGGGAGACUGGAAUUCCUGGUGUAGCGGUGAAAUGCGCAGAUAUCAGGAGGAACACCGGUGGCGAAGGCGGGUCUCUGGGCCAAAACUGACGCUGAGGAGCGAAAGCGUGGGAGCAAACAGG
rnacentral:rRNA from 1 species